rnacentral:lncRNA from 1 species
AAAGAGAAGAUGAGCUACAGAGACAGCAGAAGGAAACACUUUCUCUGUGACAGAAUAAGGAUGAUCUUCUUAUUGAGAUUUGAGGUGUUUUUCCCUGAACUAUUCACACCCACUUUGAUUUUAAGCUGGAAGACCAGAAGACAAUGAUUCAGAAGCCCAGGGAGCCUUCAGUGGACAAUCAGAUUGUGCCUACAGCGGAAGAAUCUUGCUGGCAUAUUGCCUUUGCCACUCUAAAAUCUGAUUUCACAGAAUUUGAAAAGAAAGUAUGUCAAAACUUCAGUACAGUUGGAUGA